GAUAUGUGAUAAUCUGAAAUUUAAUUGGCAAUGUUUGGGUGUGAAAUGGCAUUUAUGCCCUUGUAUGUAUGAAUGUGUGAGAAUUGGCCUUAGGGGCAUUUUGGUAUUUUGACCUUUAAUGAUAUACUUUGAUAAAAAUGGAAUGUUUAAGGAAAAUGAAAUAGAAAAUUCUGGGUUUCUUUCCCUCUCUUACCCGACCCUCUCUCCCACUCUUACUCUCUUGAUUUUCAACUUGAUUUGGUGAGAAAUAAGCUUGAUUGAAGCCUUGAAUAUUUGGGGAUUGUGGAGCUUGGCCUUAAAUUGGUUUGAGGAUUACCGGCACCUGAUCAGGAGCACCCGGGGAUUUGGAAUCUCCUUCUAUAGCUGGACAACAGGAAAGGGUAAGGCAUUAGCUGAUCUGCCAUGAGUUUCAGGAGCAGACGAAGAAUGUACAUGUUCACGCCACUUCAGACCAAGCGGGUUAUGGGUCUAACAGUGUUGACUUUUGUAUUCUGUUUUGCCGCUUAGGUCGGCUAGUAAGAAAGAACUUGUAAUAAGUUGUAAAUAUUUUUGGGAUCCCAACUAUUUUGAAAAGUUUAAAUAUAUUACAAGUUUUAUUUUCA